rnacentral:rRNA from 1 species
CGGGAGGCAGCAGUGGGGAAUAUUGCACAAUGGGCGAAAGCCUGAUGCAGCGACGCCGCGUGAGGGAUGACGGCCUUCGGGUUGUAAACCUCUUUCAGCAGGGAAGAAGCGAAAGUGACGGUACCUGCAGAAGAAGCGCCGGCUAACUACGUGCCAGCAGCCGCGGUAAUACGUAGGGCGCAAGCGUUGUCCGGAAUUAUUGGGCGUAAAGAGCUCGUAGGCGGUCUGUCACGUCGGAUGUGAAACCCGGGCUUACCCCGGGCUGCAUUCGAUACGGCAGACUAGA